ACCUGAGGAGAAAAUAAUAUUGCAUCAUAAUGAAAGGAUAUGUAACGUACACUUUUCUGUAAACUAAGCCAAACAUUUUUUCACUGAUUUAGGGUAGAGUAAGAAUAUUUACUGUAUUGCGCAAGUUAGUUCAUACUUAGAUAUAAUUUUAUAUGCAAUAUUACCUUUUCUUUUCAUCAUCAUCUUUAAGAGUUCUGUUCAACUUUAUUUCUUAGUUGAUAAAUCCAUCCACAAUUCAUAAAACACAACACAUGCAACUGAGGUACAAGAAGUAUUGACAUCCAGAACUCAUUGAAAUCAUUUAAAAAUCAAAUCGACAGGUUAAAAAAAAGCCUCAGGUCAAAUAUUCAUUUAUCACCAAUUAACUGUUUGACAAAAACUUCCUGCUCCGAUGUCCAGAUCUGAAU